CAAAAUUUAUCAAUUAGGUAUGUAAAUGUCAACCUCACAUUUAUGUUCGAUAAAUUUAAUUUGAUGUGACUGUUUUUUAGAAUUUAUGAAAGAAAAUUUGGAUCCUACGCCUGCAAUGAUUAACGAACAUCGUUUUAUUCAUAAGUUUUCAUCAAUAACUGUUGAUAACGAUAAAUCUCCCGAAAAACCUCUGAAAGAAAUAUUCACUUUGCCGUUGGAUUAUUUACUGAAGAAAAAAAUAAUAAAAAUUGAAAAAACAGGCAAGUCAAAGUUACCAUCUGUGGGGAUCUCUGAUGAAUGGUACAAACAAUUAAAAAAAGAAAAGUUGAAAAACAUGAAA